GCCCCUUUAGCUGAAUCGGGAUAGCACCAGCCUCUUAAGCUGGGGAACCGGGAUCGAAACCCGGAGGGGGCAC
rnacentral:tRNA from 1 species